rfam:Verticillium longisporum isolate VL1 genome assembly, contig: scaffold_1510
GGCUUGCUGGCGCAAUGGUAGCGCGUAAGCUUCCGGUGCUUAAGGUUGUAGGUUCGAGUCCUGCGUAGGUCG